GACAAUUGGUGUCUCUGAGUCGUGAAAAGAGGGUCGAGGGCGAGGUGCUGGGUAGAUAGCCAGGAAAGAAGUCUAGGCGGGUAGGCAGACUAGGAGCAUCAACCGACUGUGGCCAACACUCCGACGUCUGACUAUCGACAAGAGUUGGGCGUAGUGUCCUUCUCUUAAACUAAAUGUCAUAUUAUUUUAUCUCUCUCUCUCUCUCUCUCUCUCCUCUUGCCAGUAGCCUCACAGGACCACUUGUGAGUAACCUCCUUACAUCUCCACUCUUCCUACCUACAGUGUAGUCUCAGCAUACCACAGAACAGUUAUCAUCAUCAAAAAACUAAACACAAGAAGCACUGCAGAAGAACCAGUGAGGAAGAGACUGACUAUCAUAAGACUCACUCGACUAAAAGAAAUGUUUCUUGAAAGGGAGGAGACUAGGCUUUGAUGAGUUGAAGAAUUUAGUAGUGGACAGUUAUCUUUAUUAUUAUUAUUAAUUUUUUUGAAUGACCUUUUGUUAAAAAUAGUUAGCCUAUGCAAACAAAUGGAAA